AAUAUUAGUCAAUGCUCGAAAGAGUGAACUAGCUAACUGAAAUCAAUUAUAAUAAUUGAUAACAUAAGGGAAAAUAAUGAUAUUACCUUAUUAUUAGUGUCGUCCAAAACUGGUGCCAGAAGACUCGGUAAGGCCAGAGACACAAACGUUAAUCGUCUUAAUCAGGCGUAAAGGGUUUGUAGGCGGCUUUAAAAUUUACUUAAAUAUAUAUUAAGUAAAGAAUAAAAGCUAGAAUCAAAUAGAGGAUAUAUGAAAGAAUGCUUAGAGUAGGUCUGAUAUCCUUAGAUACUAAGUAGAAUAUUAAAGGCGAAAGCUUUUUUCCAUUAAUGAUUGACGCUCAGAAACGAAGGUGAGGAUAGGAAAUAGGAUUAGAUACCCAGAAUACCCCUCUCUGUCAACGAUGAAUGGUAGUUAUUAGUAAAAAUUAUUAAUGGCAAUGUUAACACGAUAACCAUUCCGCCUUGUGAGUACAACUGCAAAGUUGAAAACAAAAAAAUUAGUCGGUUUCGGAGCAAACGAAGUGAAGCAUGUUAUUUAAUUCG
rnacentral:rRNA from 1 species